rnacentral:lncRNA from 1 species
AUGUUAAUUUAAUACUAAUUUUCUUACUGAGUAUGUGGAACUCACUCUUUCUAUACCCCUCCUCCCCCCCCCCCCCCACAGAUGAGGAAGAAAGUGAGGAACCACAAGCUGACCUACCCUUGGAAGUUUAUGAAGAUCCUGUUGAUACACAAGUCUGAGUGCAUGAUUGUUCCUGCACUCUUAUGAGUCCAAUAGUAUAGUGAAAUAAGUGGCCCUUAUGUUUUAUUUUA